rnacentral:lncRNA from 1 species
GAUGGAGGAGCUCUGGUGGAGAACAGGAAGUGUGCUCAGACAACUCAGGACUGGUCUUUCUUACCAUGGCUCUGCAUACUUGGCCAAGAAUGUACUUGAAACCUACUUUUGAAGCUGCCCUGACACAACUAAGACAACAUGGCUGGGCUGCCAUAAUCCCAACUCAUGGAUGAGAAGUAUGUUGGGUGAUUAAGUCUGCAUAUGAGCUGCUGCUAAGAGACUACAAGGUGUGUGAGAGAUGGACUCACCCAACGGGGGCGCUUGUUCAUCCCUUGCUUUUCAGUGAGGUAGUGCCUCUUCCACACCAACUGGAUGCUUCUGUUCCUUUUAAUGACUCUUAGCGCUUCAAGCAGAUGUGGUCCACCUUUUUCACCCUGAUAGGAAGCUGCCUGGUGUGUCUUGUUGGGCUUACCAAGAAUUCCAGACCCCUACGGAGCAGCGUUGUGUUGAGUCACGUGCCUGAAAACCUCUACCAGCCAGGCAAUGUCUCUCAGAUCUUGCAUUUUGUCACUUCUUUACCCCCAAUGGCUUGUUGUCUGACAUCACUUAAUGCGCCGAAACAGACUGCAAAAGAAUUGCUUCUAGAUGCAAAUUUGCCCCAGGCCCGUUGAACUUUAUGCCACGGCUUCAAGUUUAAUAAGAAACCAUCUUCAUUAAGACUGAAAAUGACUUCCAGUUUCUCCCAGUCCAACAGCUGCUUAGCUUCACUCUGGCUGCCAGUUGCACACACCUGCGUGUUGCAGCUGUGCGAGCUGCUAAAACACACUACGGACAGCCUAGGGUAGCCAACACCUGGAAAGCAUAAAGUAUUUACAGUUCGGAACAAGAACAAAACUCCCUCAAUAAAAAUACUUGUAGG